AAAAGAGAGAUGGGCUUGCCUGAAUAUGCAUUAUUCUCUACCUUCAUGGCAGCUUAUGGACGUGGCCAUGUCUUACAAGAAUGAUGACUGCUUUCCUUGAAUCCAUUGUUGUUGGUGACAUUGCGUAUCUGCUUUUGGAUCGGAUGAGAGAGACCUGUGGGUAUUCAUUUGUUGAAGGCAGAGUGGAAGAGAGAAAAAGAAAUGGAGGCUGGGGUCUCCAUGGGUCCACCGGACAUGUGAACUUCAGUUUGUUGUGCUUUGCUGGAUGUAGAGAGAGAGUGAGAGAGUUUUUUAAGGACCCAUUUGCCCUUUGUGACGGGCCAUGGAGGGAGAAGAUCAUACAUGGGGUUGAGAGCUUGGAGAAAGCACUAAAAGAAAGACAGUCUUGCCUCUCUGCUAGCUGCAUUGGGUUGGGGAUGGAAGCUUUUUUCCCUGCAACGUGACAAAUAUGCCAAUGUGUGCUGAUUCAUAGUGAAGAUUUGCAGUUCCUGGAGGAAGCCGCGAAAUGGGUAAAUUCAAUUCUAGGCUGAUUUGGUAUUUGGUGGCCUUCACUGUUUACUGUUUUUGCUUUGAAAUAAUAAUGGGAACUAAAUGGAGACAUGUCUCAAUAAAGGGGAAACACAAAUAUUACAUGAAA